UGGGUUUGGCUGCAAAUAGCAUUUCCUGACCUUGGCACUCUAAAGUUCAAGAGUUUGCUGUUCUGUGUGUGGAAGCCGAGCCGCUGGCAGUGUGGAUUAGACUGGGGGGGCUUCCAGUCUGAUGAUAUUUAAAAUAAUAUUUAAAUAUUUAGUUAGCAGCUCCCUAUCCUGUCCUGCAAUUUUUUUCUAACACCUGCAACUGUAUCUCUUCCUGAAGGGGACUGAUGCUUACAUGUUCAUAGGUCUUCCCUUCAAACCACUGGAUCCUCCUUGUCCUUGAAGGUAGCAUGCCUCGUGGCUGCUACAGCAGUCACCUGCGGAACGUCAAGUUGUUGUUAAUAUCUUGUCAUCUUCAAAAUCAGCUUAUGCCUUUGGCUUUGCUUUGAAUUUCUUGAUAAAGCGAUGUCAGUUUCUGCCUUCCACCUGGAAGACUGAGCUUACAGAAUCUUCCUUCUUUCUGGAGCUGAAUCUGUCCUUUGGUCCCUGACAGUAGGAAAACCUUUUUAGAAGUCCUCGGUGUUGUUUUCUUCAACUGCUGGGUGAUUGAAUGGCUACAUUUUCCCUGCAUGUCUCAGAAAGGGCUUGUGGCAGCAUGCGGGCCUGGUGUGGCAUAGCAGCAGUGGCCCUCGACUAGUCAUCACAGCAUGAUGCUGUUCUCAGCACAUCAUGCUUUGCUGUUCUCUUUCUCAGUCUCUUUCAGGUGCUAUCUUGGACUGAAAAGAACUGCAGUGGCUGCAGCCAUAGCAGGUGGAGAGGUUUGGAGUGAGGAAACCCUCUCAGAAUCACGCUGAAGCAAAACUUCGGGUCUUGUGUCAGGGCAUGUGUGCAUGUUUCAAAGGGCUUUGUUUCCAAGAACAUUAGCUGCACAGCCUUUGAAAGGGUUUCAGUAUUGUCAUUUAAAUGUACUGCACAACCUCUUGUGCUUUCUAUAUUUUUAUUGGCAGUAAUUGUUAUUCUGUCCACACAGAAUGCACCACAGCACAGCACACCUGCUGCAGCUGGCAAGCAGAGCGGUACUGCCAAACUCCUGCCUAACUCACCACCAGCAAAACAUUUAUGCUUCUCUAAGUACUAUGAAUAAGCCUGCAGAACAGUAUCAUGUUGUCAUAAACAGAUAAUAGAAAGUGGCUGAAAUGAAUAAUAGUAAUCCAGGUCAAGAUUUUAAUAGGUAUAAUUUUGGUAAUUGACAACCCUGUUGAAUAGAUCUUAAUGUACGUGAAUUACAAAACAAUGUGAAAAGAAGGGGAGAAAUAAAACCCAGAAUGGAUAGAGACAGCAUGUAAUUGGUGUCUCUUGGCUUACUAUUUUUUUGUUUGAAAAAAGUCCAUCAUAAAUGUUCAGCAACUGUCCUGUCCAGCUAAUAAUGUUAUUAGCUUGUUGGCUAGUAAUAUUAUUCUUGUUUGGCUAAUUGUUGCUUUUCUUCUUGAUGUUGAUUAUUAGUUGACUAUCAGCAGCAUGUUUCUAGUUAAUUCCCUUUCUUGCCCAUGAUGACAGGAGGAAUUUCCAUGCCUAGAAGCUAUCAGUAAAAAAACCCAAAACAGCUAAAUACUAUUUUGAAGAAGGAAUAACAGGAGCCAGUCAUAUGUAUGUGCAGAAUUAAAUUUCAGGAACAGAACUUGUGGUAAGUUUAAGCACAUUUACAAAAUCAUAGAAUCAACCAGGUUGGAAAAGACCUUCAACAUCAUCAAGUCCAACCUUUACCCCAGCACUGCCAAGUCCACCACUAAACCAUGUCACUGAGGGCCUCAUCUACACAGUCUUUGAAGAUUUCCAGGGAUGGUGAUUCCACCAAUUCCCUGGGAAGUCUGUUCCAACACCUGACUAAAAUGCAGAUAUCAAUCUGGUUUUUUGAAAAUAAUAUGGAAAAUAAUAUGCAGUGGAUUGCUCUGGUUUUAAUAUUUAUGUUCUGUAGUACAAAAAGGAGGAAAAAGACAGGAGGAAAGAUGAGCUUCAGCUGUAUUAAUCUGUAUCAAGCUAAAAAUACGCAUGUAGAGGAAAAAUAGCAUUAUUGAUUUUAUAUUUUA
ensembl:lncRNA